UACGUAGGGUGCAAGCGUUAAUCGGAAUUACUGGGCGUAAAGCGUGCGCAGGCGGUCCGCUAAGACAGAUGUGAAAUCCCCGGGCUUAACCUGGGAACCGCAUUUGUGACUGGCGGGCUAGAGUAUGGCAGAGGGGGGUAGAAUUCCACGUGUAGCAGUGAAAUGCGUAGAGAUGUGGAGGAAUACCGAUGGCGAAGGCAGCCCCCUGGGCCAAUACUGACGCUCAUGCACGAAAGCGUGGGGAGCAAACAGG
rnacentral:rRNA from 1 species